AAAAACAAAGAAACAAAAAAUUGCUUUGGCUAAAAUAUUGAAGAUUAUGAGACUAAAACAGAGACAAAUUGAAGAAGCAGGGGAAUUUCUGGCCAAAGAAAUUUAGUAAAAGCUUCCUGAGAAGUCAGAAGAUUCUACAUAAUCUUUUUGAAUACAGGGUCAUGAAUUCCCAAUAUGACUAUUUCUCUUAUUUGAAAAAAAAAAAACAAAACAAAUGGUUCUUGACGACGAUUCCCAAUAUGACUAUUUCUCUUAUUUGCUGAGAAGUCAGAAGAUUCUACAUAAUCUUUUUGAAUACAGGGUCAUGAAUUCCCAAUAUGACUAUUUCUCUUAUUUGAAAAAAAAAAAACAAAACAAAUGGUUCUUGACGACGAGAAGCAGAGAAAACAGAGGAAAACGGUCAAUAUGGAGUAUAAAUGAAUCAAAGAGGGAAAAUUUUGAUGAAAUUUUGAGAAAAUAAGAUCUGGGUAUUGAAGAGAGAAGACUUUUAAAGAUGGGUUUGAAAUUUUAUGAGAUUUGAUGAAUUGGGAUUGGAGAAUUUGGAGCGGUUUGAUUUUUCAAAACAAAGCGGCUCAUUCUCAUUCUCUUUCUAUUUUCCUCUUAUUUUUGCUUCCUCCAUGUUUUUCUCUCUCUUUUGUCUUUUGCCUCCUUUGGCCUUUCCC
rnacentral:lncRNA from 1 species